GUUAGAGGUGCCGUCGCGCAUCACCUGGCGCUUGAGCGCCACCUCGGCGUAUUCGGCGUACGGACCGGAGAUCUUGCCGUCACUGUUGUCGAACACGAGUUCCACGGAUGCGGCGCCCACGGGCUUGCGGGUGACCGAACCAUUGAAGAUGACGUCGAUCAUGGAGUCGCCGCGCAGGUGCUUGGCGGAAAGCUCGCCCAUGACCCAGCGCACG
rnacentral:misc_RNA from 1 species